AUGGGCAUCAUCAAGAUCAAGCUUGCCGUGGACAGGCCGGGGAACCGUGUGUUGUUCGCUGACGCAGGCUCCGACUUCGUCGACGUCCUCCUAUCCUUCCUCACUCUGCCGCUCUCUGCCCUCCAGUCCUGCGCAACAGGCGCGUCAUCCUCGCGGGGAUGCCUCUCCAACCUCUGCGACAGCGUCGACCACCUCAGAAACAAUAGCCUGCUGAAGGUUGAGGCCUGCCAUGGCAUGCUUCUCACGCCUGCUCACACCAAUGAGUUCCAGCUCUGCAAGUCGACUGACAGUACCAAUGACCUUGAGAUUUCCAGGCUCUGCAAGUGUUCCCUAGUUAUGGCUAGAGUGUUGCAUGUCUACGAGCAAGUAGGCUGCAAAGAGACGUUUGUAGGUGGCAAAGAACGGUAUGUGAUCAGUGAUGACAUGAAAAUCAAGCCAGCAUCCACCAGGACCAUGCUAUUGCUGCCUCAGGCGUUCGAUUCUGAUGGUAUCGGUCAUGGCUUUGAGGAGGUCGAAGUGAGCGUCCCAAGGACACAAGUUUUAUCCAUGUUGAAGGCCUUUCUUUCGUCAGACACCGUACUCACUGAUGCAUUUCUAUCAAAGGGAACUGAUAAUCAUAAGGCCACUCAUGCCACUGUGACACCGAUCAUCCAUCAGAAUAUUAUUCCAUUGGAUCAAGAUUCUGCAGGUUCAGAAUGGAAAAUAAAGGUCAAGAUAAAGGUCUUUUACCACACCCGUGAAAAGAAGGUCAUGUAUGCCGAAUGCAACCAUGAGUUUGUCGACAUGCUCUUCGGAUUCUUGACUUACCCUAUCAGCUGUGUGAUCAAGAACAUGGGGCUGGCACUUGCCAUCUUGGCAGGUGCUUCGACAAUCUCUAUAGAAGCGUCACUGAUCUCGAUGAUGUUGGGCACUUAA
rnacentral:rRNA from 1 species